AAUAGUUUAGUAACAACAUACUGCUUUUAUAUCAUACUGUUACUUCUUUAUCAUCUAUUCAGCUAAUUAAGGCUUUAGAACAUUGCCUUUAGCAGCAAAGCUAUGCUCGGCAGUUUGACCUAUUGGUAAGAUACUCUGUAAACAUAUUGACAGAACAACAUCGAUACUGUGUGUUGGGCCUGAAAGAAUUGAGAAGAUGUUAGUUAGUGGAAGCACAACAAAAAGUGGGUAUAUUUGGGCCUGAAUUACUGCACAGCAUAUUAAGUAUACAUUAUCUAGUUUUAUUUUAAUAUCUAAGAGACAUCAUUUUCGACGUUUUUGUCCAAUCUUUCACUAAUCUCCGCCUUCAUGAGUAGAUGAUGUUGGGGUUGGCAACUCCGCAUUCAUCAACACUCUCUCCGGCUAAGUUCUCUUCUAUACAACGCCGCUAAUCUCCUUCUUCCGAAAUGUUGGGUAAGCGUUUAUCUUUGUAUAUUAUUAUUUUUCUCCUUUUGUUCUCGCUACGCAACCAGUAAUUUUUUUGUCUUGAGAAUAUCACUUUUAGCAUUUUGGUAGGCACUAAACAUGACCAGUGAUGCAUAAGGAGAUCUACCUUGAUUGGUGGAAGUGAUAAUAUAUGCAGGAGAUUGUUUGGUAACUAAAGAGCUUGUCCAUAUGUAAAAGAAGAUGGCACAUAUGAAAUAAGGUUAAGGAAACAUUGACUAUGGUAACUAGAAACGUAAUCGUAACUGGAGUUAUGACAUGGUGAGGAUGAUGCUUAAUUGAGUAUUUUUUUCUUUGAAACUAGUGUACUUGAAGAGGAAGAGAAGCCACUUAAAAGAGAUGAAUCUGAUUAGAAGAUAUAUAUAUAUAUAGGUAAUCCAUUAUCUACAAUUAAUAAUGGAUUGUUAAGUUUUAUUAAACUGAUUCACUUAAAUUACGAAGCAGUUUAUGAUUAACCUAAUAUCAUUCCAUUGUAUCACUUAAACCUAACAUAAAAUCUACCUUUUUAUGAUUAACUCUCCUCGGAAAUAGUGUAGAAGGUCAACUGGAAUUCAUUAUCCGAUAUUUUUCCUUCAUUUUAAUAAAGUUUAGUUUCCUUGUCCGUCGCAAAUUAUUGGUCUUGUUAGGCUUUUAAAGAGAAUAUAACACAAUGUUUUUGUUUUGCUUUGCUAGGGUUAUCUUCUGAGUUUGUUCUGGUGUUCAUCAUGCGGUUUGUGGAAGCUGAGGGUAUUAGUCUUCUGUGGAGUUGUUACUCUUUCCAUUGUGGGAGUGUAAGAGGAAGAAGGCCACUGAUUUACAUAAAGAAAAGAAACUGAUUAUUAGAUAAACCCUCGAAGAAGGUCAAGCUCAAUAUAACUAUUUCUUCGUUUUAUGGUUUUCCUGUGUACUGUAUUCAUAUAUCACUGGCUCUUGUUAUGCUAUUUUAGCAAUAGGUUAUUUACUCAGGUUGUUCAGGUACUCAUGCGGUUUCUGGAGGCUGAGGAUAUUAGUCUCUUUGGAUAUGGUAUUCUUCCCAUUGGUAAGACCUAAGAAGGGUUUACGUUUUCAAACAUGAUAUUGACACGUUUUCUUGACACCUGAAGAGUUAGCUUAUGUUAGAUAUUAUUACUCCAUGUAACAUUUGCUUAUCUCUUGUCCAUCUACUUUACUUCAUUGAGUUUCAACAUUUAACAGACAUAGGUCUGUACAGCUUUCCUUGCAUAUAUAUGUUAAGUGUUUAUAUAUUUUCUAGAUAUAUA